GUCCAGCUGACGAGUUCCAAAUAGGAUGAAACACGCGUCCUGGAU
rnacentral:hammerhead_ribozyme from 1 species